GUGGUUCAUGGUGCAAAUUCUGCAGUUUUGGUGCUGCAUAAUUAUGUAGACUCGUUGAGUGAGUGAAGUCGUUCAGUGAGAGGUUAAGGAGUCUAGAACAUUGUUUGGAUAUUCACACAGCGAGCUGGGUCGCUGAGUGAGAGGUUGAGGUGUUUGAACCAUUGUCUGUAUAUUCGCACAAUGAGCUAGGUCGUUGAGCAAGUGUUUAGGAGGUUUGAACCACUG
rnacentral:lncRNA from 1 species